UGGCAGAGUCUAAUGGUCUUGAUUAGUAAGGAAAGUUGCUGUAUCACUGAAAGAAAAGAAAAACGAUGCGAUGCAAUGCAACACGAAGGUUCAGCUAUGGUAUCAAGUGACUUUACAAAGGCUAUGGGCAAUCAUUGGGAUAAUAUGAGCUAUUAUCAGGGAAAGUCUGAUGAAGAGAAAAAGAUGCCCCUGGAACAAAUAUUGGCACCCUUCCUGAAGUGUCAUGGAUUGGGACCCUAAAUAUUAUCUGCUGGGAGAGGAGACUAUUCAGUGACCUUUCAGGUGAGAAAAUUGGGGUGCCAGAUGACCAAGCCCGAUAGGCUGCAGCGUUGCCUGGGAUACCAACUGCGCAGGUGUUAUUCCAUUUUAGUCACUGAAGCAGUAGGGACCCAACGACUGGAGAGUGGCAGGGCUAUAUUCUAG